CGCCCGGUCCCGUUCCGAACCCGGAAGCUAAGCCCCAUCGCGCCGAGAGUACUGCGGGGUCAGCCCGUGGGAGGCCAGGGCGCCGCUGACC
rnacentral:rRNA from 1 species